rnacentral:rRNA from 1 species
UACGUAGGGUGCAAGCGUUAAUCGGAAUUACUGGGCGUAAAGCGUGCGCAGGCGGUUAUGUAAGACAGAUGUGAAAUGCCCGGGCUUAACCUGGGAACUGCAUUUGUGACUGCAUGGCUAGAGUUUGGCAGAGGGGGGUAGAAUUCCACGUGUAGCAGUGAAAUGCGUAGAUAUGUGGGAGGAACACCGAUGGCGAAGACAGCCCCCUGGGUCAAGACUGACGCUCAUGCACGAAAGCGUGGGGAGCAAACGGG